UCAAAUCUGACCAGACCGGUUUACUGUUUUGCUAUUGCUCAAUUUAUUGUGGCCCAGUUAAUGCGUGGUUGAAUAUUUUGUGGUUACAUAGUGAAAACGAUGACUAAUCACUGAAUCCUGUCUUAUUUAAGAAAACCUGAAGUCAUUCAUUCAUUCUUUCUGUGUGAUGGAAUCAGGAGCAUCUCUACAUUAGAUCCUGGUGGACUGAGAAGUUAUGAUUGCACACAUUAUAACACCCAUAUCGCACAUCCAAGGACAAUGCACGAGGAUACUCCUGCCAUGUGUUCUGUUAUUUUUGAUCGUAGGAGUUGUGACGGGACAGCGCAGUGUGAGCAACAAAGGGGAUUGUUCUAAAAAUGAAUACUGGAGCGACGGGCUCUGCUGUGACAAAUGUGCUCCAGGGCAUAAGUUGAUAAAGAAAUGCUCUAGUGGAAUGCAAUCUGAAUGUGUGAAAUGUUCAGAUGGGACGUACCAAGACAGUAUGAAUUAUUUCCCCAACUGCUUUAGAUGCCAGAAAUGCACCAAACGUCAUGCAGUGGAGAUUUCACCAUGUACAUACCAAAAUAACACAGUUUGUGGAUGUCAGCCUGGAUACCGCAAAAGAUCCUUAGAUGGGAAUUUAUUAUUCAGUAUUUCAUGGGAUUGUGUGCGCUUAAAAAGGACUCAAAUCCAUAAAGUUAAUUCGCUGGAUCACACAGGUCUACCUCAACCACUGUCUGGCAUUAACAAUAAAAUUACCUCUGAAAAAAGUGCUGCGAAAUGUUUUUAAUAAAGUAAACAUAUGGAUAUCUUUUAUCAUAAUAUUUCAAAGGAUGAACAUUAAGACUGAAUUGAGUUUACUUCAUUAUCCCUACAUUAUUUUUUUACACAAUUAUUAUUAUUAGUACAUUAUUUUAGAAAACUGUAUGUAUCAAAUGAUAGCUACAACAGAUAUUUAUUGAAUGUUUAUUUGUACAUCUCUCAAUCAUAAUUGUAGGCAUUGUAUUGUAUGUUUUGCCCUUACAAAGCUUUGAUCUUAAAGCUAAGCAUCUGAAGAUCAUCUUAUAAGACAUAUAUUAUUGGAAAAUAGAGUUUAGGCCUCUGAAUAAAAUAGAUGUUUUUCCCCCUAAAUUCUCACUAUAUCAUGAUAUGGACCGUUGUAUGCCUGAUGUAAAACAUGAAACACAUGCAAACUAUUUUUAAAAAAAAUAUUUUUUCUAAAGGUUCAAUAAACUUACAUUUCGAAAAAUGUUUUUCUGCUUUAUUUUAUAUGUCAAGCUUUACAGGGCUCAUAUUUAAAAUUGUGUUAAUUGAUAGCCUACAUUUGUGUUAGCCUAAAUUAAACUGAUCCUAAUGAAACUAACACAUUUUUUAAUGAGUGAAUGUGUGUUUUGUCUGUAAUGCUUCGUAUAAUUACGUUAGAGUGGUUUUGGUUUCAUAGUUUUGAGAAAAGGUGUUCUAGUUACCAGGAAAUGUCUAAAUCGGUAUGAAUGUCGGUUACGUUAAAAUGAAACCACGUAAAACACCCUAAAUAGCGUCACAUCCGCUUAUGUUGGGAAGCAGACUAAACCUAGACUUUAAAUAAACGGUGACGUAGCCUAUUCAAACUGCAAGAACACAGACUCGUUAUUUAAGCUGAUAGAUAGAUAGAUAGAUAGAUAGAUAGAUAGAUAGAUAGAUAGAUAGAUAGAUAGAUAGAUAGCAUUUAAAGAAUAAUUAAUUAAUUUAAAACGCUAUUAAAAUAUAAUUUUUAAAAAAAAUAAAAUAUAAGCUAAAAUAAGCAUUAAACUGAAUACUGAAACGCGUAUAAAAUGCUAGCGCUUGAGGGCGAGCUUAUCACGUGACAUCGAAAAUAUUUUGGAGCGCAGACGGAAAAACCCGGAAAAACAAAAUAUUUAUCAUCUAAAUGAAAGUCUUUCUUGUCAGUUUUGCAAACUAUCAUAAUUUUUGUGAUAAAAGAGGGACGUCAUGAUGUCUGGUGCUGACCGUGUUGGACUGACCCACUGUAAGUUUGUGCUGGUGUUUGCAGUCCUCAUGGAUCUUUUCGGUGUGUCCACCCUCUUGAUCGGCGUCUUCGUCCCUCUUGAAAUCGGCGGUCGUGACUUUGGUGAUCUGUUGGUGUAUUCUGGAGCUCUGCUGGUGUUGAUGUCUAUGGGUGCCUGGAUCAUGUGGUACAGUGGGAACAUUGAUGGUUUAAUAUCAGGAAAGGAUCUGACACACAAACGCAAUGCUGUGGACCGGCUCGCUCGCACCCUCAGUCGCCGCAUACGGAGACCUCAACGCAGCCACAGCACAUCCUGACCUCUGGGCAUGACAGAGAGCACAUACACAGGGCUGCUGGGAUACCACACACAUGAGCCUAAAAUCUAAUUCGGAAGAGCAGGAAAAUAGCGUUUUACAAGUAUGAAGGUUGACAGAUGUGUUACAAUGUGGUGUUUGCAACUACUGCUACCACAAAACAAGUAUGAAAUUGCAGUUAUUUUGUAGAACCUGUACUGUAGUGCACUAUGUACAACUCACAAAAUGUAUUAAAAAUGCUGAAAAGCUUUAUAUUUUUGUACACAAUUUAGAACAAAGAGUGAAAACUGUUUCUACUGUUUUUCUAUUUCUGUAUUUCUUCUUUUUAAAUGUAUCUUUUGGUGUGUAAAACAUGGAUGAUUAAAUUUGAAACACUGAUACAUUUUUCAUCAUUUAAAAUCAUACAUGCAGCUUUGGUGCUUUAUUUUACCAAUACAGAAACACUCUUCAGACCAAAACUCAAUUUAUAACAAUAGCGAAAAUGUAUUUACAAAGUUCCAUAUUACUAUAUGAAACACUUUUUCCAGUUAACAAAACAUGUAAUCUCUUUCUUUCUCACUCAUUAAAUAGGCAGAGCCACAUGUUUGCUCAUUCAAAAAUACUGCAAAAAUUGCCAUACAUACACCUCCAUUCAUUUCGCAACAAAUAACUUAGAAACCAACAACCAAAUAAUAAUAAAAUUAAAAAUAAAACCUCACCCUCAACACCAAACCUGCAUUGUUAAAAAAAAAAAAAAAAAGAGAGAAGAAAAGAAAAAAAAGAA